AAUCCAUGAUGAGGGCACUACCUGAGAAGAUCCUUAAACCUUUCAUAUGCCUCGAACAAUGUUUCUAACUCUCCUUGUUUAAAUAUUGAGAUUUCCUCUCUGAUCUU